AAGAGAGACAGGAAGUGAGCGCAGGUUCCGGUAGGGCGAGAAUCUUGCCCAGCGGCAGCUCGGGGAGCCACCUCAGCGCGACGGGAGGAGGCGAGUCCGGGAGGCACCCCCAAAGUGCCUGCGAUGGAAGCCCGGGGGUGCGCGCGGUCCCGGCGGCCGCUGCCGGCGCUGCUGCUGUUCGUGCUGCUGCCGCCGGCCGCGGGCGCUGCAGGCGCUGCAGGCGCUGCGGACGCGCGCUGGAGCGGGCAGGGCACCACCCCGCACCUGCAAAGCAUCUUCCUGGGCCGCUGCGCGGAGUACAUUGCGGUGCUGAGCCCCGAGCUGCGGGACAAGAACUGCACAGCCAUCUGGGAAGCCUUUAAACUGGUGCUGGAUAAGGAUCCCUGUUCCGUGCUUCCCUCAGAUUACGACCUUUUUAUUAACCUCUCCAGGCACUCCAUUCCCAGAGACAAGUCCCUGUUCUGGGAAAACAACCACCUCCUUGUCACCAGCUAUGCGGAGAACGGCCGCCGCUUUAUGCCACUGUGCAAUGUUCUGUAUGGCAUGGUUGGAGAUUUCUUGAGCUGGUGUCGACAGAAAAAUGCCUCUGGACUCGACUACCAAUCCUGCCCUACAUCAGAAGAUUGUGAAAACAAUCCUGUGGAUUCUUACUGGAAAAGUGCAUCCAUCCAGUAUGCAAAGGAUAGUUCUGGGGUGAUCUAUGUCAUGCUGAAUGGUUCAGAGCCAACAGGAGCCUAUCCUGUAAAAGGGUUUUUUGCAGAUUUUGAAAUUCCUCACUUACAGAAGGAUAAAAUCACACGCAUUGAGAUCUGGGUUAUGCAUGAAAUCGGCGGAUCCAAUGUAGAAUCCUGUGGAGAAGGCAGUGUGAAAAUCCUGGAAGAGAGACUGCAGAAAAUGGGUUUCCAGUAUAGCUGUAUCAACGACUACAAACCAGUGAAGCUCUUGCAGUGUGUGCAGCACAGCACUCAUCCCGACUGUGCCUUAAAUUCUUCUUCCUGUAAUUGAUGUGAGUGGCACUGCGUGAGAGCUCCCCUUUCUGACCUCCUGACUCCAUUUAAGUGGGCAGCAACAUCUACUCAAAGAGAAGCCCUGUCCCUUUAUGCAGAACAAAGUGCCAGCUUUGUCUUUCCUCUCUUAGUGGCUUUGGCUUCAGUUGCUCAGAUGUAACUAGGAACUCAGCUGUGUUGCCCUAAGCAGCCUGGAGUCCUGAAACCUGCCCUUGCCCAGUCAUCCUUCUUGUUCUGUGUACACCAGGUGACUCCAUUGUCUAAAGAAGCUUCCUGCUGGGAAAACAAUGUCCUGAAAUGGGUUUUGAAUGAUAUACAUGGUCAGGAUUUCAGAAAUUAAGCUAGUUCUAUUUAACCGGUUAAAACUACUGCAUUAACAAUUUGAUUGACAUAUAUACACUACUAUGUAUAAAAUAGAUAACUAAUGAGAACCUAUUGUACAGCACAGGGAAAAAAAACUACUGCAUUAGAAUUAAAGCUAGUUAUUAUUUUCUUAUUUUCAUAAUGAUACAACAUAUUGAGACAGACUGUUAGUUAUAUAAGCAAACGUUUUAAGAAAAUUUUGGUAGAACUGUAUAUAUAUAUUUUUAUAUUUUCUUAUACAACAGCAGGGCACACUGCAUGUUUGUUGAUAGCUUCAAAUAUAUGUAUACUAUAUAAGUGUAUUCAUACAUGUUUGGUAGGCAAAGAGCUAUGUAUAAUGAUGUCCAUUUAAGGGUUAUUUAUAAUGAGGGGGAACUAAACAUUCUACUAAUAGGGAACUCUUUGCAUAUGUUUUGGUAUAUCUGUAGGAUGGAAUAUCAUUCAAAUAGGAAAAGUUAUGUUUACCAGCCCAAAUGUCCUUCAUCUGGUGAAUGGAUAAACUAACCUUGGUAUAUCUAUACAGUGGAAUACUACCCAGCAAUAAAAAGUAACUAGCUAUGGGUAAAUGCAGCAGUGUGGGUGAGACUCAGCUGCAGCAUGCCAAGUGAAAGAAGCCAGACCAAAAGGCUGCAUACAGUAUAAUUCUGUUUACAGGACAUUCUGGAAAAGGUGAAACUGUGGGAAUGGAUAACUUUUUGGUGUCAGGGUUAAGACUAGGGGUAGGGGCUAACUGAAAAGGAGCAGCCUGAGGGAAUUUGAGGGGAGUGACAAGUCUGUUCUGGAUCAAUGGCUAUGAUGGUGGUGACAGGAAUCUAUAUUUGCCAGCACUCAGAACUGUAUGCCAUAAAGUCAUUUCACUGUUUGUAAAUUAAAAAUUUUCAAAAAACAUUUUGUGACGUAGAAAAAUGCCAGCGAUCAGUGUAAGACAUAGGACAUAAAACUGUUUAUAUGAUCGAAUUGUCUAAAGUAUAAUACAAAUGUAACAUUAUGGAUGUAUGUUUGUAUUAUACGCAUAUUGUAAAUGAAGUAAAGGAAAAGAAAUAAACCCGAA